rnacentral:lncRNA from 1 species
AUUCCAUUACCUUAUCCUUACCCAUGAGGUUCCAACAUUUUAUCCUUAAUUGACCUAGGAGUUGUUCCCGGGCAUCCUCAAAAAAAAGGUUAUUAUACACCCCAACCCCAUCCCUUGGAAAAAAAAAGGUAGCACCGAAGAAAGGAAAGAGCGAUGUUCCCGGGCAUCCUCAAAAAAAGGGUUAUUAUACACCCCAACCCCAUCCCUUGGAAAAUAAAAGGUAGCACCGAAGAAAGGAAAGAGUGAGAUGGUGGUUUUUGUUGUUCCCGCGAAGCGAAGAUCAUUCGCUUGGC